rnacentral:rRNA from 1 species
UACGUAGGGUCCGAGCGUUUGUCCGGAUUUAUUGGGCGUAAAGAGCUCGUAGGCGGCUCAGUAAGUCAGAUGUGAAAACUCAGGGCUCAACCCGGAGACGCCAUCUGAUACUGCUGUGGCUUGAGUCUGGUAGGGGAUCACGGAAUUCCUGGUGUAGCGGUGAAAUGCGCAGAUAUCAGGAGGAACACCGAUGGCGAAGGCAGUGAUCUGGGCCAGUACUGACGCUGAGGAGCGAAAGCGUGGGUAGCAAACAGG